UACAGAGGUCUCAAGCGUUGUUCGGAUUCAUUGGGCGUAAAGGGUGCGUAGGCGGCGCGGUAAGUCGGGUGUGAAAUCUUGGAGCUUAACUCCGAAACUGCAUUCGAUACUGCCGUGCUUUGAGGACUGGAGAGGAGACUGGAAUUUACGGUGUAGCGGUGAAAUGCGUAGAUAUCGUAAGGAAGACCAGUGGCGAAGGCGGGUCUCUGGACAGUUCCUGACACUGAGACACGAAGGCCAGGGGAGCAAACGGG
rnacentral:rRNA from 1 species